ACUCAGUGACAGUCAAUAUGAAAAGCUCUUCCAGUCUGUUAUAGACAAGACUCUAGAGGAAUGCAUAGCUAGUUGUAAGAGGCAUGAAAUGCAAAGCUUUCAGGACAGUGAACUGCUCGUUACCAGUGAGAACAUCGAACUCUCUAUAAACACUGAACCCUCC